AUACGGAGGAUCCGAGCGUUAUCCGGAUUUAUUGGGUUUAAAGGGUGCGCAGGCGGGAGAUUAAGUCGGCGGUGAAAUUUUUCAGCUCAACUGUAAAAGUGCCUUCGAAACUGGUUUCCUUGAGUGUAGAUGAAGUAGGCGGAAUUUGUGGUGUAGCGGUGAAAUGCAUAGAUAUCACGAGGAACUCCGAUUGCGCAGGCAGCUUACUAAACUACUACUGACGCUCAGGCACGAAGGCGUGGGGAUCAAACAGGAUUAGAUACCCUGGUAGUCCACGCAGUAAACGAUGAUUACUCGCUGUUUGCGAUACAAUGUAAGCGGCUAAGCGAAAGCAUUAAGUAAUCCACCUGGGGAGUACGUUCGCAAGAAUGAAACUCAAAGGAAUUGACGGGG
rnacentral:rRNA from 1 species